rnacentral:rRNA from 1 species
GUGGGGAAUAUUGGACAAUGGGCGCAAGCCUGAUCCAGCCAUGCCGCGUGAGUGAUGAAGGUCUUAGGAUUGUAAAGCUCUUUCACCGGGGACGAUAAUGACGGUACCCGGAGAAGAAGCCCCGGCUAACUUCGUGCCAGCAGCCGCGGUAAUACGAAGGGGGCUAGCGUUGUUCGGAAUUACUGGGCGUAAAGCGCACGUAGGCGGACAUUUAAGUCAGGGGUGAAAUCCCGGGGCUCAACCCCGGAACGGCCUUUGAUACUGGGUGUCUUGAGUUCGGAAGAGGUGAGUGGAAUUGCGAGUGUAGAGGUGAAAUUCGUAGAUAUUCGCAGGAACACCAGUGGCGAAGGCGGCUCACUGGUCCGAUACUGACGCUGAGGUGCGAAAGCGUGGGGAGCAAACAGGAUUAGAAACCCUAGUAGUCC